AGAGUUUGAUCCUGGCUCAGAGCGAACGCUGGCGGCAUGCUUAACACAUGCAAGUCGCACGGUUGGGGCAACCUGACAGUGGCGGACGGGUGAGUAACGCGUAGGUAUCUGUCUCUGGGUGGGGGAUAACCGUGGGAAACUACGGCUAAUACCGCAUGACACCUGAGGGUCAAAGGCGCAAGUCGCCUGGAGAGGAGCCU
rnacentral:rRNA from 1 species